UAUAAAAGUUUUUCCACAAUUCCCACCAUUUCCACAAUUUGAUAACACACGAAGAGGCGGUGAAUGAUUUUCCAUAUGCCACAUGAUGCACAAUGCAUCAUAUGAAGUAUCGAAAUUGGUAUACUUGAUGGGUAUUGAAUAUUAAGCAUCAAUGACUCGAAUGUUUCCUUAUUCUGUAAAACCUAAAACAUGGCUGAUGAGACAGUAAGUUCGAUUGAAUUCACAAGUGAUGCAUUACCGUCUAUUAACUAUACUCGGUACAAUUCGAAUGUAACGUAUUCCAUCGAGCCGAUCUAUUCGAAACUGGGUAUGGGUUUUAUACACGAUUUUACUCACGCUUUGUUUGACAAGUACUAUACAUCAAAUGAAGAUUCACCAAAAGGUUAUGUAAUUGCCGUUGACAACUCAAGCUCAUAUGCUUUGGGUCCCAAAGUAUGGGCAAAUGUGUGGGAAUCUUUGAUUGCUCGAAAAGCAGUCGUGCUCGUCUGGGUGAUGUUUCUUCUAACCGUCAUAAUAAUCGUACCGUUUAUUGCGGUAUGUUAUUUUUGUUUCUGUUGUUGCCGUUGCCACGCCAUUUGCCCACCUUGUCAAAGUGCCUCGAAUACUACUAAGCGUAUUUUACUGAGUUUACUGCUAAUACCACUUAUACUGGGAGCUAUGUUUGGAUUGGUCGUGGCAUUCCUGAACGAUAAACUGAUUAAUAAUACGAUGCGAGACAGCAGCGAGACAAUGAUGCGCAGCAACAGGGACACUUGUGCCAUGCUGCAGGACGUCUGCCUACAUGUCCGUCACUUGCUCGUCGAUAACUUUGAGGAAUUGGCGACAACGAUGAGUAGCCAGCUCUUUGCCGUUGCUGAGAUGGCCUAUAAGGAUCUGAGAACAGAGGCGGGCCUACAUCUAUUAGAGGUAUUGGAGGAUAUCUUUGACAAUAUGCCCGAGGCAUUGGCGCUUCUGGAGCAGGUGAAGGAAAUGCAGGCCUAUUUAGUUUUCAUUGGCAGCCAAUACCGUGAUGCUUUGCGUGGGGCUAAGCGUGAUUUCGUGUAUGUUCUUACCGUGUGGUGCGAUUUCUUUGAGUGUAAUAACAUAAUUCGAAGCAAUAACCUUUUAUACAUGGAUACUUCACAAUGCCUUCAUUUCGAUAAGCUGCCAAAUACCAGCGCCUAUAUUGAGGAUGUCAAGAACAUUAUAUAUGAAGACUAUUAUAGAGUACCGAAAUCCUGGUUAGAUCGCCUGUACGAUGAACAACAGAAAUUCAAACUCGCUCUCGACCCGAUGAUACCGCCCAUGAUACGUCGCAUCAGCAUGUUGGCCGAUUCCCUAGAGUCCGAAAGCCACAAGAUAUGCAACAUAACUUAUAGGGCUAUGAGUAACAUAUUUAUACGAAACAUGCAUUCCACCAAAAGUUUUGAAGAGCUCUACGAUAACUAUGGCCGUAGUCGUUGGUAUGCCAGUUUCGGUUUGUUUUUCAUCAUGCUAACGAGCCUCAUUUCACAUUUUAGAUUGUGAUUAUAUUGAGCUAUACUCUUAUAGCUGGGCUUUGCAUACGAAAAGAUAACUCUGCAUCGAGCUGUAUGUUACUCGCGAUUAUUUUAAUGUUUG
rnacentral:misc_RNA from 1 species